GAUGAACGCUGGCGGCGUGCCUAAUACAUGCAAGUCGAGCGAACAGACGAGGAGCUUGCUCCUCUGACGUUAGCGGCGGACGGGUGAGUAACACGUGGAUAACCUACCUAUAAGACUGGGAUAACUGCGGGAAACCGGAGCUAAUACCUGAUAAUAUAUUAAACCGCAUUGUUCAGUAGUGAAAGACGGUUUUGCUGGCACUUGUAGAUGGAUCCGCGCCGCAUUAGCUAGUUGGUAAGGUAACGGCUUACCAAGGCAACGAUGCGUAGCCGACCUGAGAGGGUGAUCGGCCACACUGGAACUGAGACACGGUCCAGACUCCUACGGGAGGCAGCAGUAGGGAAUCUUCCGCAAUGGGCGAAAGCCUGACGGAGCAACGCCGCGUGAGUGAUGAAGGUCUUCGGAUCGUAAAACUCUGUUAUUAGGGAAGAACAAAUGUGUAAGUAACUAUGCACGUCUUGACGGUACCUAAUCAGAAAGCCACGGCUAACUACGUG
rnacentral:rRNA from 1 species